CCUCAGUCGGGCUACCCGGGAACUGGGUAUAAUACCCGAUAGAUCUCGGCUGCUGGAAUGCAUCGAGCUCUAAAGCUCCGGCGCCUGAGGAUGGGUCUGCGGCCUAUCAGGUAGUAGUGGGUGUAGCGUACCUACUAGCCUACGACGGGUACGGGUUGUGAGAGCAAGAGCCCGGAGAUGGAUUCUGAGACACGAAUCCAGGCCCUACGGGGUGCAGCAGGCGCGAAAACUUUACAAUGCCGGCAACGGCGAUAAGGGGACCUCGAGUGCCAGGUUACAAAUCUGGCUGUCGUGAUGCCUAAAAAGCAUUGCAUAGCAAGGGCCGGGCAAGACCGGUGCCAGCCGCCGCGGUAACACCGGCGGCUCGAGUGGUAACCGUUAUUAUUGGGUCUAAAGGGUCUGUAGCCGGCCGGAUAAGUCUCUUGGGAAAUCCAGCAGCUUAACUGUUGGGCUUUCAGGAGAUACUGUCUGGCUCGAGGCCGGGAGAGGUGAGAGGUACUUCAGGGGUAGGGGUGAAAUCUUGUAAUCCUUGAAGGACCACCAGUGGCGAAGGCGUCUCACCAGAACGGACCUGACGGCAAGGGACGAAAGCUAGGGGCACGAACCGGAUUAGAUACCCGGGUAGUCCUAGCCGUAAACGAUACUCGCUAGGUGUCGGCCACGGUGCGACCGUUGUCGGUGCCGUAGGGAAGCCGUGAAGCGAGCCACCUGGGAAGUACGGCCGCAAGGCUGAAACUUAAAGGAAUUGGCGGGGGAGCAC
rnacentral:rRNA from 1 species